GGAGAGAUGGCAGAGCGGUUUAAUGCGUCGGUCUUGAAAACCGAAGAGGUGCAAGCCUCCGGGGGUUCGAAUCCCUCUCUCUCCGCCA
rnacentral:tRNA from 1 species